rnacentral:lncRNA from 1 species
UUAAGUGGCCCGUGGCCCGAGUUGGGCCAGGCCGGCCCAGCCCGCGGACUUUUUCUAAUUUUUUUUAAAAAAAAUUCUGUAAAUCAACCAGCUCAAACCUCAGUAUUGAUAAACAUAUAAAGAAUAAUUGGUUCAACUUAAUAUAUUCCUCACUGUAAAUGUUGAAAUAGAUAGAUUAACGAUAACACAGCUAAAGAAAAUGACACUGUUGUUUUCUCUAAAUGACAUUCCUCACUGCAUGACAUUCCUCAGUCCUCACUGCAUCUGCUCUGUAAAAUAAGCUCCAAAUACAUGCUUGCAAUCCCAUCUUCUCCGUCCAAGAAUGGCAUGACAUCCUGUGCAGAAAGAUUCAUAAAUGUGUACGCAGUAGUUGCAUUGCAUAAAUGAACAAUAGUGGCCUUCAUUGUAUACAGUAUAUUCCUUCCCAAAAAUUAGUAUAUAUUUACACAUUUUUUUCUUGAAUUCUGAUAAUGAAUACUUUACUUAGAACAAACAAAUAAAGGAAACCUUUUUUGCCAUCUUGCAGUUUACUUAGAACAACCAAAUUGGAUUUAUCUUGCAGUUUGUGACUGUACACAAGAUAACCUUUUCUUAGUACUUGAAAAAUCAAACAAAAAUCAAUGAAAUAGUUCAUAAAAAAUGAAGAAUCAAACCUUGAAGAAAAGGAUCAUUAGGGUGUUGGAAAAUGCAUGAAACAUUGUUCUGAAUCAGAAAACAAAAAAACAUCAAGAUGCCACCUGCAAACUUAAGGAAUUAGAGAGGCUAAAACUUAUGCAAGACAUGGGACACGCUGAAUAUCAUAUACAUAUAACAAUAUAUGUUCAACCCAAAUUAAAUUAAUCCCCAUAUCAUCAUUCAUUCAUACUCAACUGUCCACCCUUAAAUCUAAAAUUAGCAGAAAUUAAGUAGCAUCUAGUUCACUAUUUACUUUAAAUGAUUAAAUUGUUUUAAUUUAUAUAAAAAGUAAAAAUAUGUAUGGAACAUAAUUUCCUUAAAGUAGAUGGUAUAUAUACUUUAUAACAUAUUAUUAGGUUAAUUAAAUUCCAUUUGAACCUCUGUAGUUCAAGGGAUAACCAAACACUACCCAUACGAACAAAUUCCGGCAUUAAACAGAAACUCACAAAUGGUCAUAGAAAGAGGAAAAAAAGCUCUAAACAAAUCAUCAAUUUCGGAACUAGCAAUAGCGUACAUGAAUGUAUAUAUUUAUAUUCAGAAUGUGGUUCAGAGAAUCGUCAAAAAUGAUAUUAGAAAGGGAAAAGAAAAGAUACAAAUGGUUAGACCCAAGUUUCGAUAGUUAGUCUUUGCCCAAUUUCCUUCUCAUUCUUCUUCUUCCCCAUUUCUACGACUUUACUGUGUCCUUGGGUACUAAUUGAACAUACUCGACAAACAUGUGUUUUUGGUAUUUAUAGUCUUUUCUCGCAUAACAUAAACCGGAUUUUUCAAAAAAUUAUAGAAAUAGUACUCCCAGAUUCAAAAAAAGUAGAAAAUUACCCAGAUUCCAGAGAGAAAUUGGUCUCACAGAAUGAGGAUUUGGAUUCGGGAUGAAGAGAAGAAGCUACACAGUCGGCGUGGUCGAUCGAUCGAAAGUUUGGAUUUCCCAGCCGGCAGUCGUCGUUGUCUCGCUGUCUCAUACUCUCAUUUUCAGAUCUAGAUCUAAAAAAAGUCCCUUUUAAUUUAUUAUGCCUUAGCCAAGUCGAUUAGACCCCUUAGGGAGAUUACAUAGCCAGAUUACAGAUAAUGAUUUUUU